ensembl:lncRNA
AUGAAGUAUAAAACAGCUUUCAUGCUAAUGCUCAUGUCAGAAUUGGCAUUCACUAUACUGACAUUGUCAACUAGCCACCAUGUGGCAGUUAUUUUGGGGGAGCGUGCCAUUCUCCCUUGUAAAAACACAUGUACUGGACCUUUAACUUGGACAUUUACUGGUGGUAGGAAGAAACUGGAGGUUUUGAAAUGUGAUAAAGAAAGUUGUACCGAAGGAGGUGGCUUUAAGACCAGAUUGAGCCUUUCCCCUGAAAAGACCAAGAAUGGAGACCUGUCUCUUACAUUAAAUCAUGCUUUGUACAAUGACAAGGGAUGGUACGAGGCCAGUUGCGGUUCAACAUUUCUCUGCAAUUCAUUUUUAGAAGUUCUGUUCCCUGUAACAGUGAAUGUGUCAGUUGGGGAGGACGUGACACUACCUUGCUAUGCACAUACUGACAAGGAGGUUGCUGACGAUGAUGUAAACAUCCUGUGGAAAAGGGGUGACCAAAUAGCUGUGCAAGUUCAAAAUGGGAUUACAAACUAUGGUUCAGGUUAUAUAGAGAGGGCCUCUCUUUCAGUAAGUGGUUAUAAAGAUGGAGACCUUUCCCUUUCAAUACGCAGAGCCACCACAUUAGACAAAGGAUUAUACCUAUGUUAUCACAGCACGGAAGAGGAAAAUGGAUACCCAGGAGCUGUUGUUCUCAACAUUGAAGCUUAUCAGAGCUUUCAAGAAAAAACAUCUGGCGAUUUUCUUACCCUGGAUUUGUUUGUCUCCGACCCAGUAACAAUAAGCUUCACCAGUGCUUAUACAACAGAGAUUCUGCUCUGCAGUGUAGAGAGAAGCAUCGCUACAUGUAGUCCUGACUACACUCACAGAGUGUCUAUCGUGGAUUCCUUCCUUGUGCUGCGUGAAUUAACCGCAUCUGAUACUGGAAUAUUUACAGUGAAAGACAAGAUGGAUGUAAUGAUCGCAAUUUACAACGUUGCUGUGAAGAGUAUGUUUUAAAUUGUGUCUGGAGACUUGUGAGAUUUGGAGAUCUAACAGUUUUAUUCUGAUACCAAUAAGUGGUUUCCUUCUCAUUUGCACUGGUCUGUACAUUUGGACUAAAAUCAGACAAUGAAAGAAGUUAUCAAUUUGAGCCAAAGGAUAGGUGACCAGAAGGGACAACCAUAUUAUUCAUAUGGCCAUCAUAUAAAAAGGUCUAAAUCCUUAGUCUGGGGCUGUGGAAAAUAAUAAAAGGUUAUUUCUUCCUCUGCA